rnacentral:rRNA from 1 species
AGUGAACGCUGGCGGUAGGCCUAACACAUGCAAGUCGAACGGCAGCACAGCAAGAGCUUGCUCUUACGGGUGGCGAGUGGCGGACGGGUGAGGAAUACAUCGGAAUCUACUUUUUCGUGGGGGAUAACGUAGGGAAACUUACGCUAAUACCGCAUACGACCUACGGGUGAAAGCAGGGGAUCUUCGGACCUUGCGCGAUUGAAUGAGCCGAUGUCGGAUUAGCUAGUUGGCGGGGUAAAGGCCCACCAAGGCGACGAUCCGUAGCUGGUCUGAGAGGAUGAUCAGCCACACUGGAACUGAGACACGGUCCAGACUCCUACGGGAGGCAGCAGUGGGGAAUAUUGGACAAAGGGCGCAAGCCUGAUCCAGCCAUACCGCGUGGGUGAAGAAGGCCUUCGGGUUGUAAAACCCUUUUGUUGGGAAAGAAAAGCAGCAGGUUAAUACCCCGCUGUUCUGACGGUACCCAAAGAAUAAGCACCGGCUAACUUCGUG